rnacentral:rRNA from 1 species
CCUACGGGCGGCAGCAGUAGGGAAUAUUGCUCAAUGGGGGAAACCCUGAAGCAGCAACGCCGCGUGGAGGAUGAAGGUUUUCGGAUUGUAAAAUCCUUUUUUUAGAGAAGAUAAUGACGGUAUCUAACGAAUAAGCACCGGCUAACUCCGUGCCAGCAGCCGCGGUAAUACGGAGGGUGCAAGCGUUACUCGGAAUCACUGGGCGUAAAGAGGGCGUAGGCGGGAUAUCAAGUCAGAUGUGAAAUCCUAUGGCUUAACCAUAGAACUGCAUUUGAAACUGUUAUUCUAGAGUAUGGGAGAGGUAGGUGGAAUUCUUGGUGUAGGGGUAAAAUCCGUAGAGAUCAAGAGGAAUACUCAUUGCGAAGGCGACCUGCUAGAACAUAACUGACGCUGAUGCGCGAAAGCGUGGGGAGCAAACAGGAUUAGAUACCCGUGUAGUC